AACUGUAUUCGUCGUAGGCGUUGUAUUUGCAGGGGUUUUCUUUGGACUGCUGAUUGGUAUUUUCUUUGGGUAACAGUCAUUUUCACAUUCUAUGAUAACAGUUUACUAUUGAUUGAUUGAUGGAAUAUUGUUUAACGACCCUCCGAGAAUAUUUCACUCUUAUGGAGACGCCAUCACGGCCGGUGAAGGGCUGGGAAAUUUCUGCCUAUGGUCAGUGCUUAUGGCCUUUGAGCAGGGAGGGAUCUUUAUCGUACCACACUUGCUGUGACACGGGACAACGGUUUUCGCCGUCUCAUUCGAAUGACCGCCCCAUUUUGUUACCUUCUACGACAAGGAAGGGGGUACUGAGGACCUAUUCUAACCCGGAUCCAGAAGUAGGAAAUGUCAUUCUAAUACCAAAAGAAUCCAAUCAGCAAACGGACAGAAAACCCACACAUAUGAGGAAGAAAUGCGAUUCCGGUAUCACAAUUACCAGGACAUGAAUAGGCGGUGCUCAUAAACAUCUGGAAAUAGCAUGGACAAUAUCCACAUGUAUGAAUCUAUAGGAGAGAUUGAAAUUCUUCCCAAGGAUAUCAGAGCAGAAAUGGUUCAGGACACACUAUCGUUUCAUACGAAGCUAUGAGAAUCUAAUCGUGUGAAACAUAACUAUUUUGAUAAAUAUCAUUGAACAUGUAUACAUACUACAUCAAUACUUUCCUUGAUUACGUGUGCACAUAAUUUAUUUAACGAUCCUAUCUUCCUUGUUUAGGUGUGUACAGAUUAUGUGACCUUCAAAUUCAUUCAUAUGUCGAUUCGAUACAUGAAUAUCCCUGUGACCUCCAAAUAAAAGACACCACAGAGUCGUAA